UUGCAAUGAUGAAUCAGAUUCCAAAGCCAUUCGUAGUUUCCACCAGAGGUCGAAAGGCUUGUGAUGGUGCAAGUACCUUCCUUGGAUGUCUGAGCGA
ensembl:snoRNA SNORD14 Small nucleolar RNA SNORD14